UACGUAGGGGGCUAGCGUUGUCCGGAAUCAUUGGGCGUAAAGCGCGUGUAGGCGGUCCGGUAAGUCCGCUGUGAAAGUCGGGGGCUCAACCCUCGAAUGCCGGUGGAUACUGUCGGGCUAGAGUGCGGAAGAGGCGAGUGGAAUUCCUGGUGUAGCGGUGAAAUGCGCAGAUAUCAGGAGGAACACCGGUGGCGAAGGCGGGACUCUGGGCCGAUACUGACGCUGAGGAGCGAAAGCGUGGGGAGCAAACAGG
rnacentral:rRNA from 1 species